AUUGAACGCUGGCGGCAUGCCUUACACAUGCAAGUCGAACGGUAACGGGCCUUCGGGUGCCGACGAGUGGCGAACGGGUGAGUAAUACAUCGGAACGUGCCCGAUCGUGGGGGAUAACGAGGCGAAAGCUUUGCUAAUACCGCAUACGAUCUACGGAUGAAAGCAGGGGACCGCAAGGCCUUGCGCGGACGGAGCGGCCGAUGGCAGAUUAGGUAGUUGGUGGGAUAAAAGCUUACCAAGCCGACGAUCUGUAGCUGGUCUGAGAGGAUGAUCAGCCACACUGGGACUGAGACACGGCCCAGACUCCUACGGGAGGCAGCAGUGGGGAAUUUUGGACAAUGGGCGGAAGCCUGAUCCAGACAUGCCGCGUGCAGGAUGAAGGCCUUCGGGUUGUAAACUGCUUUUGUACGGAACGAAAAGCCUUCUUGUAAUACAGGAGGGUCAUGACGGUACCGUAAGAAUAAGCACCGGCGAACUACGUG
rnacentral:rRNA from 1 species